UCCCCCUGCUGAGGUAUAUGGCUUUUUAUUCCUAUGUGAUUGCUUUCCUAAUUCACAUAGGGCAGAAAGCCAUGUGCUGCACAGGGGACA
rfam:Xenopus tropicalis strain Nigerian Chr02_contig_1790, whole genome shotgun sequence.